GAGCAAUGAUGUAAAAUUACUGGUCCUGAAAUGUAUUUUAUCAAAUUACAUUUCGUGAUGGUUUCUACACUUGAACUGAGCUCA
rnacentral:snoRNA from 1 species